rnacentral:rRNA from 1 species
UUAGAGUUUGAUUCCUGGCUGAGGACGAACGCUGGCGGCGUGCCUAAUACAUGCAAGUCGAACGCUUUUUCUUUCACCGGAGCUUGCUCCACCGAAAGAAAAAGAGUGGCGAACGGGUGAGUAACACGUGGGUAACCUGCCCAUCAGAAGGGGAUAACACUUGGAAACAGGUGCUAAUACCGUAUAACACUAUUUUCCGCAUGGAAGAAAGUUGAAAGGCGCUUUUGCGUCACUGAUGGAUGGACCCGCGGUGCAUUAGCUAGUUGGUGAGGUAACGGCUCACCAAGGCAACGAUGCAUAGCCGACCUGAGAGGGUGAUCGGCCACACUGGGACUGAGACACGGCCCAGACUCCUACGGGAGGCAGCAGUAGGGAAUCUUCGGCAAUGGACGAAAGUCUGACCGAGCAACGCCGCGUGAGUGAAGAAGGUUUUCGGAUCGUAAAACUCUGUUGUUAGAGAAGAACAAGGAUGAGAGUAAAACGUUCAUCCCUUGACGGUGUCUAACCAGAAAGCCACGGCUAACUACGUGCCAGCAGCCGCGGUAAUACGUAGGUGGCAAGCGUUGUCCGGAUUUAUUGGGCGUAAAGCGAGCGCAGGCGGUUUCUUAAGUCUGAUGUGAAAGCCCCCGGCUCAACCGGGGAGGGUCAUUGGAAACUGGGAGACUUGAGUGCAGAAGAGGAGAGUGGAAUUCCAUGUGUAGCGGUGAAAUGCGUAGAUAUAUGGAGGAACACCAGUGGCGAAGGCGGCUCUCUGGUCUGUAACUGACGCUGAGGCUCGAAAGCGUGGGGAGCGAACAGGAUUAGAUACCCUGGUAGUCCACGCCGUAAACGAUGAGUGCUAAGUGUUGGAGGGUACAGGAUUAGAUACCCUGGUAGUCCACGCCGUAAACGAUGAGUGCUAAGUGUUGGAGGGUUUCCGCCCUUCAGUGCUGCAGCAAACGCAUUAAGCACUCCGCCUGGGGAGUACGACCGCAAGGUUGAAACUCAAAGGAAUUGACGGGGGCCCGCACAAGCGGUGGAGCAUGUGGUUUAAUUCGAAGCAACGCGAAGAACCUUACCAGGUCUUGACAUCCUUUGACCACUCUAGAGAUAGAGCUUCCCCUUCGGGGGCAAAGUGACAGGUGGUGCAUGGUUGUCGUCAGCUCGUGUCGUGAGAUGUUGGGUUAAGUCCCGCAACGAGCGCAACCCUUAUUGUUAGUUGCCAUCAUUUAGUUGGGCACUCUAGCGAGACUGCCGGUGACAAACCGGAGGAAGGUGGGGAUGACGUCAAAUCAUCAUGCCCCUUAUGACCUGGGCUACACACGUGCUACAAUGGGACAGUACAACGAGUUGCGAAGUCGCGAGGCUAAGCUAAUCUCUUAAAGCUUCUCUCAGUUCGGAUUGUAGGCUGCAACUCGCCUACAUGAAGCCGGAAUCGCUAGUAAUCGCGGAUCAGCACGCCGCGGUGAAUACGUUCCCGGGCCUUGUACACACCGCCCGU